ACACACGAACAGAUCAGAACUACAAUAGAGCAUGAUCAAACAGACCACACCACACCACUCAGAGCCAGAGAGAUAAGUCACUAAUCAAGCAGAUCACACCCCCCNUGGGUGGAGUAGAUAAUAAUAAAUACCCGCCCCCCCUUUUUUUUUUUUUUUUAUUUUUUGUGCCCCCCCCCCCUCCUNUGUUNUUGUGUGUUGGGGGGGGNACCAACUCUCNCUUCUCUUCUCCCCCCCUUGGUUUGUGUGUUAACCCCCCCCGGGGGGGAAAAAAAAAAAAAAAACGCGGGGUGUGNGUUGUG
rnacentral:rRNA from 1 species